UACGAAGGGGGCUAGCGUUGUUCGGAAUUACUGGGCGUAAAGCGCACGCAGGCGGUCUGCUAAGUUUGGAGUGACAGUUGGUGGCUUAACUGCCAAAGUGCUUCGAAAACUGACAGACUUGAGGGCUUCAGAGGGACACGGAAUUCCGGGUGGAGUGGUGAAAUGCGUAGAUAUCUGGAGGAACACCGGUGGCGAAGGCGGCGUUCUGGACUGCAACUGACACUGAGGAACGAAAGCCAGGGGAGCAAACGGG
rnacentral:rRNA from 1 species